CCAGAUAGCUCAGUCGGUAGAGCAGAGGACUGAAAAUCCUCGUGUCGGCAGUUCGAUUCUGCCUCUGG
rnacentral:tRNA from 1 species